UUAAAAGUUAUUCUGUGUUAAGUUGUUGUAUUUGGGUAAUUUUAACCAAUCAAUGAUGUGUAUUCAGUUGAAGAAAGCUACUGUUGUUUGUAAUAGUAAUUGAAGAGGAACAACUGCUGGGUCAUCUCUACUAAAUGUCACCACUCUGUUCUAUUC